UACAGAGGUCCCGAGCGUUGUUCGGAUUCACUGGGCGUAAAGGGUGCGUAGGUGGCGAGGUAAGUCGGAUGUGAAAGCUCGGAGCUCAACUCCGAAAUGGCAUUGGAAACUACCUUGCUCGAGGGUUGGAGGGGGGACUGGAAUACUUGGUGUAGCAGUGAAAUGCGUAGAUAUCAAGUGGAACACCAGUGGCGAAGGCGGCUCACUGGACCGGAACUGACGCUGAGGCGCGAAAGCGUGGGGAGCAAACAGG
rnacentral:rRNA from 1 species